CCUACGGGAGGCAGCAGUGAGGAAUAUUGGUCAAUGGGCGUAAGCCUGAACCAGCCAAGUCGCGUGAGGGAUGAAGGUUCUAUGGAUCGUAAACCUCUUUUAUAAGGGAAUAAAGUGCGGGACGUGUCCCGCUUUGUAUGUACCUUAUGAAUAAGGCUCGGCUAACUCCGUGCCAGCAGCCGCGGUCAUACGGGGGAAUCGAGCGUUAACCGGAUUUAUUGGGUUUAAAGGGUGCGUGGGCGGCCUUUUAAGUCAGCGGUGAAAGUCUGUGGCUCAACCAUAGAAUUGCCGUUGAAACUGGGGCGCUUGAGUGUGAUAGAAGCAGGCGGAAGGCGUGGUGUAGCGGUGAAAUGCAUAGAUAUCACGCAGAACCCCGAUUGCGAAGGCAGCCUGCCAGGUCAUGACUGACGCUGAUGCACGAAAGCGUGGGGAUCAAACAGGAUUAGAUACCCUGGUAGUC
rnacentral:rRNA from 1 species